UCAGUCUAUUGGUCAAGGUUAUUCUACA
rnacentral:piRNA from 1 species